GGAUGAGAGGGUGCUCUGGCUAUGAUAUCUGUCACCCCAUUGAUCACCAGGGUUGAUGGGGGUGAUCUGGCGGAUGUCCUCCUCCUCCCUCCACUGCACCAUGUUCAUCCCUCCUGAAGCUGCAUGCUCGAAGAGGAUGACCUUCCCCGAUAGAGGAGGACCAUUGUUCUUCAGUCAAGGGUAUACAAGUAGCUGUGCUCCCCUGCUAGAACCUCCAAAGAAGCUCUCAAGGUCCAUUUGUAGGAGAACGUAGGGUGGUCAAGCUUCCGAGACUCCAGACACAUCCAAAUGAGGCACCGCAUGUGGCAGUCUGCCUUUCUAG
rfam:Ailuropoda melanoleuca scaffold1118_19, whole genome shotgun sequence.